rnacentral:misc_RNA from 1 species
GAUGAAGAACGCAGCGAAAUGCGAUAAGUAAUGUGAAUUGCAGAAUUCAGUGAAUCAUCGAAUCUUUGAACGCACAUUGCGCCCCCUGGUAUUCCGGGGGGCAUGCCUGUCCGAGCGUCAUUACUGCCCUCAAGCGCGGCUUGUGUGUUGGGCCCUCGUCCCCCCCGGGGGACGUGCCCGAAAGGCAGUGGCGGCGCCGUGCCCGGACCUCGAGCGUAUGGGGCUUUGUCACCCGCUCUGUAGGCCCGGCCGGCGCUUGCCGACCCCCAUCAAUCUUUUUUCAGGUUGACCUCGGAUCAGGUAGGGAUACCCGCUGAACUUAAGCAUAUCAAUAAGCGGAGGA